UACGGAGGGAGCAAGCGUUACUCGGAAUUAUUGGGCGUAAAGGGCGCGUAGGCGAUCUGACAAGUUCUGUGUGAAAGCCCACAUGUUAACUGUGGAAGUGCACCGAAAACUGUUGGAUUUGAGUUCAGGAGAGGAAGGCAGAAUUCCCGGUGUAGCGGUGAAAUGCGUAGAGAUCGGGAGGAAUACCAGUGGCGAAGGCGGCCUUCUGGACUGACACUGAGCUGAGGCGCGAAAGCCAGGGGAGCAAACGGG
rnacentral:rRNA from 1 species